rnacentral:rRNA from 1 species
GUGGGGAAUCUUAGACAAUGGGGGAAACCCUGAUCUAGCCAUGCCGCGUGAGCGAUGAAGGCCUUAGGGUUGUAAAGCUCUUUCAGCUGGGAAGAUAAUGACUGUACCAGCAGAAGAAGCCCCGGCUAACUCCGUGCCAGCAGCCGCGGUAAUACGGAGGGGGCUAGCGUUGUUCGGAAUUACUGGGCGUAAAGCGCACGUAGGCGGACCGGAAAGUCAGAGGUGAAAUCCCAGGGCUCAACCUUGGAACUGCCUUUGAAACUCCUGGUCUUGAGGUCGAGAGAGGUGAGUGGAACUCCGAGUGUAGAGGUGAAAUUCGUAGAUAUUCGGAAGAACACCAGUGGCGAAGGCGACUCACUGGCCCGUUACUGACGCUGAGGCGCGAAAGCGUGGGGAGCGAACAGGAUUAGAAACCCCAGUAGUCC